rnacentral:rRNA from 1 species
UACGGAGGAUGCAAGCGUUAUCCGGAAUGAUUGGGCGUAAAGCGUCCGUAGGUGGUUUUGUAAGUCUGUGGUUAAAGCGUGGAGCUCAACUCCAUAAGGGCCAUGGAAACUACAAGACUAGAGUGAAGUAGGGGUAGAGGGAAUUCCCAGUGUAGCGGUGAAAUGCGUAGAGAUUGGGAAGAACACCGGUGGCGAAAGCGCUCUACUGGACUUAUACUGACACUGAGGGACGAAAGCUAGGGGAGCGAAAGGG